rnacentral:rRNA from 1 species
CCUACGGGAGGCAGCAGUGGGGAAUUUUGGACAAUGGGCGCAAGCCUGAUCCAGCAAUGCCGCGUGAGUGAAGAAGGCCUUCGGGUUGUAAAGCUCUUUUGUCAGGGAAGAAACGGCCGAGGCUAAUACCUUUGGCUAAUGACGGUACCUGAAGAAUAAGCACCGGCUAACUACGUGCCAGCAGCCGCGGUAAUACGUAGGGUGCAAGCGUUAAUCGGAAUUACUGGGCGUAAAGCGUGCGCAGGCGGUUUUGUAAGUCUGACGUGAAAUCCCCGGGCUCAACCUGGGAAUUGCGUUGGAGACUGCAAGGCUGGAGUCUGGCAGAGGGGGGUAGAAUUCCACGUGUAGCAGUGAAAUGCGUAGAGAUGUGGAGGAACACCGAUGGCGAAGGCAGCCCCCUGGGUCAAGACUGACGCUCAUGCACGAAAGCGUGGGGAGCAAACAGGAUUAGAUACCCUGGUAGUCCACGCCCUAAACGAUGUCUACUAGUUGUCGGGUCUUAAUUGACUUGGUAACGCAGCUAACGCGUGAAGUAGACCGCCUGGGGAGUACGGUCGCAAGAUUAAAACGUCAAAGGAAUUGACGG